AACGAACGCUGGCGGCAUGCCUAACACAUGCAAGUCGAACGAGACCUUCGGGCCUAGUGGCGCACGGGUGCGUAACGCGGGGGAACCUGCCCUUAGGUUCGGAAUAACUCCCCGAAAGGGGUGCUAAUACCGGAUAAUGUCUCCGGACCAAAGAUUUAUCGCCUUUGGAUGGGCCCGCGUUGGAUUAGCUAGUUGGUAGGGUAAAAGCCUACCAAGGCGACGAUGCAUAGCUGGGCUGAGAGGAUGAUCAGCCACACUGGGACUGGGAAACGGCCCAGACUCCUACGGGAGGCGGCAGUGGGGGAUAUUGGAAAAUGGGCGGAGGCCUGAAGCAGCAAUGACGCGUGAGUGAUGAAGGCCUUAGGGUUGUAAAGCUCUUUUACCCGGGAUGAUAAUGACAGUACCGGGAGAAUAAGCACCGGCUAACUCCGUG
rnacentral:rRNA from 1 species